rnacentral:misc_RNA from 1 species
AGUAAUCUUGUUGAACUUCGUAUGAGUUCUAGCCAAGUCAAACAACCGUUUAGUGGAGAUAAGCCUCUUGGAAAGUUGAAAUUAAUGGACCUCAGCUACACUAGUAACCUGAUCGGGAUUCCGGACUUGUCUAGUAUUGCCCCAAAUCUCGAGUUUUUAUAUUUGACUGGAUGUUGGAGUUUGGUUGAAAUUCCCUCUCUUCAAAAUCCUCUUCGAGAUUUGAAAUUAAUGGACCUCAGCUUCUCUCAUCAACUGAUCAGUAUUCCAGACUUGUCUAGUAUUGCCC